rnacentral:misc_RNA from 1 species
GAUGAAGAACGCAGCGAAAUGCGAUAAGUAAUGUGAAUUGCAGAAUUCAGUGAACCAUCGAGUCUUUGAACGCACAUUGCGCCCCCUGGCAUUCCGGGGGGCAUGCCUGUCCGAGCGUCAUUGCUGCCCUUCAAGCCCGGCUUGUGUGUUGGGUCGUCGUCCCCCCCGGGGGACGGGCCCGAAAGGCAGCGGCGGCACCGCGUCCGGUCCUCGAGCGUAUGGGGCUUUGUCACCCGCUCGAUUAGGGCCGGCCGGGCGCCAGCCGGCGUCUCCAACCUUCUAUUUUACCAGGUUGACCUCGGAUCAGGUAGGGAUACCCGCUGAACUUAAGCAUAUCAAUAAGCGGAGGA